UUGAACGCUGGCGGCAGGCCUAACACAUGCAAGUCGAACGGUAACAGGAAGAAGCUUGCUUCUUUGCUGACGAGUGGCGGACGGGUGAGUAAUGUCUGGGAAACUGCCUGAUGGAGGGGGAUAACUACUGGAAACGGUAGCUAAUACCGCAUAACGUCGCAAGACCAAAGAGGGGGACCUUCGGGCCUCUUGCCAUCGGAUGUGCCCAGAUGGGAUUAGCUAGUAGGUGGGGUAACGGCUCACCUAGGCGACGAUCCCUAGCUGGUCUGAGAGGAUGACCAGCCACACUGGAACUGAGACACGGUCCAGACUCCUACGGGAGGCAGCAGAAGGG
rnacentral:rRNA from 1 species